AACGAACGCUGGCGGCAGGCUUAACACAUGCGAGUCGAACGCCCCGCAAGGGGAGUGGCAGACGGGAGUAACGCGUGGGAACAUACCCUUUCCUGCGGAAUAGCUCUGGGAAACUGGAAUUAAUACCGCAUACGCCCUACGGGGGAAAGAUUUAUCGGGGAAGGAUUGGCCCGCGUUGGAUUAGCUAGUUGGUGGGGUAAAGGCCUACCAAGGCGACGAUCCAUAGCUGGUCUGAGAGGAUGAUCAGCCACAUUGGGACUGAGACACGGCCCAAACUCCUACGGGAGGCAGCAGUGGGGAAUAUUGGACAAUGGGCGCAAGCCUGAUCCAGCCAUGCCGCGUGAGUGAUGAAGGCCUUAGGGUUGUAAAGCUCUUUCACCGAUGAAGAUAAUGACGGUAGUCGGAGAAGAAGCCCCGGCUAACUUCGUGCCAGCCGCCGCGGUAACAC
rnacentral:rRNA from 1 species